rnacentral:rRNA from 1 species
UACAGAGGUGGCAAGCGUUGUUCGGAUUUAUUGGGCGUAAAGGGUCCGUAGGCGGCCUGAAAAGUCGGAUGUGAAAGCCCACAGCUUAACUGUGGAAUGGCAUUCGAAACUCUCAGGCUCGAGUGUGAAAGGGGUAAAGGGAAUUCCCGGUGUAAGGGUGAAAUCUGCAGAGAUCGGGAAGAACACCAGUCGCGAAGGCGCUUUACUGGUUCACAACUGACGCUGAGGGACGAAAGCUAGGGGAG